rnacentral:rRNA from 1 species
CACGUGGGAACAUACCCUUCCGGUUCGGAACAACGCCGGGAACGUAGGCGCUAAUACCGGAUACGGCCUAUGGGCGAAAGAUUCAUCGCCGAAGGAUUGGCCCGCGUUCGAUUAGCUUGUUGGUGAGGUAAUGGCUCACCAAGGCGACGAUCGAUAGCUGGUCUGAGAGGAUGGCCAGCCACAUUGGGACUGAGACACGGCCCAAACUCCUACGGGAGGCAGCAGUGGGGAAUAUUGGACAAUGGGCGCAAGCCUGAUCCAGCCAUGCCGCGUGAGUGAUGACGGCCUUAGGGUUGUAAA